UAUGUACUCCCUCCGUUCCAAAUUACUCGUCACAGAAUUGGAUGUAUCUAGAUGCAUUCUAGUUCUAGAUACAUUCAUUUCUGCGACGAGUAAUUUGGAACGGAGGGAGUACAUC
rnacentral:pre_miRNA from 1 species